rnacentral:rRNA from 1 species
AUUGAACGCUGGCGGCAUGCCUUACACAUGCAAGUCGAACGGCAGCACGGGGGCAACCCUGGUGGCGAGUGGCGAACGGGUGAGUAAUGCAUCGGAACGUGCCCCGUAGCGGGGAGUAACCAGUCGAAAGACUGGCUAAUACCGCAUACGCUCCACGGAGGAAAGCAGGGGAUCGCAAGACCUUGCACUAUGGGAGCGGCCGAUGCCCGAUUAGCUAGUUGGUGAGGUAAAGGCUCACCAAGGCGACGAUCGGUAGCUGGUUUGAGAGAACGACCAGCCACACUGGGACUGAGACACGGCCCAGGACUCCUACGGGAGGCAGCAGUGGGGAAUUUUGGACAAUGGGCGCAAGCCUGAUCCAGCCAUGCCGCGUGCGGGAUGAAGGCCU